rnacentral:rRNA from 1 species
UACAGAGGGUGCGAGCGUUGUCCGGAAUUACUGGGCGUAAAGGGCGCGUAGGCGGCUUGGUAAGUCGGGGGUGAAAGUCAGCGGCUCAACCGCUGGACUGCCUUCGAGACUGCCUGGCUUGAGCAUGGUAGAGGCUGGCGGAAUUCCCGGUGUAGCGGUGGAAUGCGUAGAGAUCGGGAAGAACAUCGGUGGCGAAGGCGGCCAGCUGGGCCAUUGCUGACGCUGAUGCGCGACAGCGUGGGGAGCAGACAGG